rnacentral:misc_RNA from 1 species
AAGUCGUAACAAGGUUUCCGUAGGUGAACCUGCGGAAGGAUCAUUAACACGUAUCCAACGUUAAACCCCCUGUGAACAUUCAUUGUACGAGUUACAUCCACGUCAUAAACCGGCAAUCUCUGGUAAAUCAUCGCCGAACAGUUUUGAUUCAGAGACCUCUGGGAAGGGUGUACGGUAGUGCGAGGCAAUUGACCUGGCAUUCCUCUGCUUGUUAGUACGGAUGGCGCAGUAACGAUCGCUGGAGGCCGAACGGCCGGCGACCAGGUCACUGGGCUACGGCCCCCCUGAUCACAACCUUUGCAUGAAAACGGGCCUGCGCUGAGGUGCGGCCACCCCUAAUGCUUGAACAACUGUUAACAAUGGAUAUCUUGGUUCUC